UGGGGAAUAUUGCACAAUGGGCACAAGCCUGAUGCAGCCAUGCCGCGUGUGUGAAGAAGGCCUUCGGGUUGUAAAGCACUUUCAGCGGGGAGGAAGGCGAUAAGGUUAAUAACCUUGUCGAUUGACGUUACCCGCAGAAGAAGCACCGGCUAACUCCGUGCAAGCAGCCGCGGUAAUACGGAGGGUGCAAGCGUUAAGCGGAAUUACUGGGCGUAAAGCGCACGCAGGCGGUCUGUCAAGUCGGAUGUGAAAUCCCCGGGCUUAACCUGGGAACUGCAUUCGAAAAUGGCAGGCUAGAGUCUUGUAGAGGGGGGUAGAAUUCCAGGUGUAGCGGUGAAAUGCGUAGAGAUCUGGAGGAAUACCGGUGGCGAAGGCGGCCCCCUGGACAAAGACUGACGCUCAGGUGCGAAAGCGUGGGGAGCAAACAGG
rnacentral:rRNA from 1 species